rnacentral:rRNA from 1 species
AUUGAACGCUGGCGGCAGGCCUAACACAUGCAAGUCGAACGAGUGGCGGACGGGUGAGUAAUGUCUGGGAAACUGCCUGAUGGAGGGGGAUACCUACUGGAAACGGUAGCUAAUACCGCAUACCAUCGGAUGUGCCCCGCUGGGAUUAGCUAGUAGGUGGGGUAAAGGCUCCCCUAGGCGACGAUCCCUAGCUGGUCUGAGAGGAGGCCCGGCCACACUGGAACUGAGACACGGUCCAGACUCCGACGGGAGGCAGCAGUGGGGAAUAUUGCACAAUGGGCGCAAGCCUGAUGUAGCCAUGCCGCGUGUAUGAAGAAGGCCUUCGGGUUGUAAAGUACUUUCAGCGGGGAGGCGUUACCCGCAGAAGAAGCACCGGCUAACUCCGUGCCAGCAGCCGCGGUAAUAC